rnacentral:lncRNA from 1 species
GCAACAGGCAGAUGUUCAAGGCCAGACUAGAAUAUGCAAACUCUCAUUGGAGGGGGAAAGCUAAAUUCUUCUUAAAUACCAUCUUCAUUUAGAUUGGAGCUGGAGUGAGCCUUCCAGGAAUUUUGGCUGCCAAAUGUGGUGCUAAAGUAACACUAUCUGACAGCCCAGAGCUUCCUCAUUGUCUGGAUAUUUGUUGGCAAAGUUGCCAGAUGAAUAACCUGCCACAGGUGCAAAUUGUAGGACUGACGUGGGGCCACAUAUCAAAGGACACUUUGUCAUUGCCACCACAAGACAUCAUUCUUGGAUCUGAUGUUUUCUUUGAACCAGAAGGUAAGUCUAAUUUAUAGCAAACUUGGCCAGAUGUAUCUUAUAAAACUAACUUUAACUCCACCACUCCCCUCAGACUUUGAAAGCAUUUUAGCCACAGUAUACUUUCUGAUGCAGAAGAAUCCCAAAGUUCAAUUCUGGUCUACAUACCAGGUCAGAAGUGCUGACUGGUCACUGGAAGGCUUGCUCUACAAGUGGGAUAUGAGGUGUGUGCACAUUCCUCUGGAGUCUUUUGAUGCAGACAAGGAAGAUAUAGCAGAGUCUACCCUUCCAGGAAGACAUACUAUUGAAAUGCUGAUCAUCUCCUUUGCAAAGGAUAGUUCCUGAAUGAAUUAUACCUCAAGCUAUUCUGGGACAAUGUCUAAAUAACAUGGCAUAAAGAUGAAUUAUCUUGAGAAAACUCAGCGGGUGCAAGUCUUAAUGCUGUGAUGUCAUGCCUACGGCCAACAUUUAACUUCAACAAAAUUAAACAUUGAAAA